AACCUGGUUGGGUGGUCUGCCUUCACGGUACGUACUGCUUGGCCGGGUUCUACCUCUUGGUGAGCCGGCAUGCCCUUCACUGGGUGUGUCGGGGAACCAGGACUUUUACCUUGAGAAAAUUAGAGUGUUCAAAGCAGGCGUAACUCGCCUCCGAAUACGUUAGCAUGGGAUAAUGGAAUA
rnacentral:rRNA from 1 species